rnacentral:lncRNA from 1 species
UGGAACGCGGCGGGGAGCGGAGGGACGAAGACAAUGCGAACGCUCACAGCGCGCAGCACGUGCCCGAGGGCCCCCAGAAGCUUGACUCUGGGGGCUGGGGCUCGCGGCCCACGGGGAGAGGGUGUUGUCGUGAACUUUCAUGAGGUUCUCUUUGUCGAUGACACCCGGGCCACGGUGGGGGCACUAACCCCCCGGGGGGAGGGGUCCUGGGAAUGAAUCGUAGCCCAGCGCUUGGCCUUGAACAGGAUAUUAGUGGAAAUAUUGCUGUGGUUGUCAGGAAACGCGAGUGCAGCCGCACAGCUACUGCCUGUUAUGCAGCGAGGAUAUCCGGUGGCUGCGAGGUCUGUAAUUUAGAAUAAAAAGCUCUCCCAACACCCGAGAGGCUGACCUCAGCGCCGCGUGGCGGUAAUGCGCUCAGCGCCCUCUGUGGAGACGGUCCAAAUCCUGACAGGUGGGAGAGCUUAGGUUAGACCUUCAAGAGCCCUGCAGAUGGACCUGCAGAAUCAGACUGCAAAAGUGAGCCAGCCACUUGCUAAACGUAGUUGAAGUGGAGGGCACAGAUCGCCUGCCAGUUAACAAUAUUAAUAAGUAGUGUUUUCCAGGGCAGACUGCUACUUCCGUGUUGGGUUCUUUACAAAGUGGGUAACUGACCGUUAUUCACGAAGCCAGAAGCGUGUAUCUGCAGUGCCACGAGACUGGAGAAGGAUCCAGGACCACACAGCUGUCUUCUUAGAUAAAUCUGACCCACUUGGCCUUCUCUGGAGGGAUGUUUCGUGCUGACUCACGAGCAACAGGAAGAGUGCUGGGUUCACAGAUGUGCAUCACCCGAGUCCAGCUUCUUCUGUGGAUUCUAGACCUGAAACUCAAGUCAUCAGGGUGGCAUGGAUGCCAUGCGACCAUCAGCUCUGCUCUUUGACGCAUGCAAUCUCUUCAUCACACUCUGCCUCAUGACAAACAAGAGCUCAGGGCCAAUGGGUCUAAACCUCCAAAAUCCUCCACCAAAAUAACUAUGUCUUCCUUUAAGUCAUUUUCUCAGGCACUUUGUCACAGCAUGAAAAGGUGACUAACACUAGAGUGUCACUCUACCCGAGACUGCAAAGCUAGCCAUGGUGUUCUUUGACAAUAUACUCAAACUGAGAGGCCAGAUAUUUUGGUUUCCGACUCCAUCUUAGAGAACCUGACCUAAGGUUGAACUCAAGUUAACUAAGAGCCUGGUACCUAGCUCCAGUUUCCAGGUUACCGCCUGUCUUAGUUAAGGUUUCUAUUCUAACCAACAUUCUGUACCAACAUCAUUUCCACAUUGCUGUUGAUCACUAAAGAAGUC